rnacentral:rRNA from 1 species
AAAUUGAAGAGUUUGAUCAUGGCUCAGAUUGAACGCUGGCGGCAGGCCUAACACAUGCAAGUCGAGCGGAAACGAGUUAUCAGAACCUUCGGGGAACGAUAACGGCGUCGAGCGGCGGACGGGUGAGUAAUGCCUAGGAAAUUGCCCUGAUGUGGGGGAUAACCAUUGGAAACGAUGGCUAAUACCGCAUGAUGCCUACGGGCCAAAGAGGGGGACCUUCGGGCCUCUCGCGUCAGGAUAUGCCUAGGUGGGAUUAGCUAGUUGGUGAGGUAAGGGCUCACCAAGGCGACGAUCCCUAGCUGGUCUGAGAGGAUGAUCAGCCACACUGGAACUGAGACACGGUCCAGACUCCUACGGGAGGCAGCAGUGGGGAAUAUUGCACAAUGGGCGCAAGCCUGAUGCAGCCAUGCCGCGUGUGUGAAGAAGGCCUUCGGGUUGUAAAGCACUUUCAGU